UAUGAAGGGGGCUAGCGUUGUUCGGAAUUACUGGGCGUAAAGGCGCGUAGGCGGUGCCUCAAGUCAGGCGUGAAAGCCCCGGGCUCAACCUGGGAACCGCGCUUGAGACUGGAGUACUAGAGUUCGGGAGAGGAUGGUGGAAUUCCCAGUGGUAGAGGUGAAAUUCGUAGAUAUUGGGAAGAACACCGAUGGCGAAGGCAGCCAUCUGGACCGACAC
rnacentral:rRNA from 1 species